rnacentral:rRNA from 1 species
AGUGAACGCUGGCGGUAGGCCUAACACAUGCAAGUCGAACGGCAGCACAGUAAGAGCUUGCUCUUACGGGUGGCGAGUGGCGGACGGGUGAGGAAUACAUCGGAAUCUACUUUUUCGUGGGGGAUAACGUAGGGAAACUUACGCUAAUACCGCAUACGACCUACGGGUGAAAGCAGGGGAUCUUCGGACCUUGCGCGAUUGAAUGAGCCGAUGUCGGAUUAGCUAGUUGGCGGGGUAAAGGCCCACCAAGGCGACGAUCCGUAGCUGGUCUGAGAGGAUGAUCAGCCACUCUGGAACUGAGACACGGUCCAGACUCCUACGGGGGGCAGCAGUGGGGAAUAUUGGACAAUGGGCGCAAGCCUGAUCCAGCCAUACCGCGUGGGUGAAGAAGGCCUUCGGGUUGUAAAGCCCUUUUGUUGGGAAAGAAAAGCAGCAGGUUAAUACCCCGCUGUUCUGACGGUACCCAAAGAAUAAGCACCGGCUAACUUCG